rnacentral:rRNA from 1 species
UAGGGAAGNNCGGAAGUCUGACCGAGCAACGCCGCGUGAGNNAGNNNNGUNUUNGGAUCGUAAAGCUCUGUUGUAAGAGAAGAACGAGUGUGAGAGUGGAAAGUUCACACUGUGACGGUACAAUACCANAAAGGGACGGCUAACUACGUGCCAGCAGCCGCGGUAAUACGUAGGUCCCGAGCGUUGUCCGGAUUUAUUGGGCGUAAAGCGAGCGCAGGCGGUUAGAUAAGUCUGAAGUUAAAGGCUGUGGCUUAACCAUAGUAGGCUUUGGAAACUGUUUAACUUGAGUGCAAGAGGGGAGAGUGGAAUUCCAUGUGUAGCGGUGAAAUGCGUAGAUAUAUGGAGGAACACCGGUGGCGAAAGCUUCUCUCUUGCUUGUAACUGACGCUGAGGCUCGAAAGCGUGGGGAGCAAACAGGAUUAGAUACCCUGGUAGUCCACGCUGUAAACGAUGAGUGCUAGGUGUUAGACCCUUUCCGGGGUUUAGUGCCGUAGCUAACGCAUUAAGCACUCCGCCUGGGGAGUACGACCGCAAGGUUG